CCUAACGGAGCUACCCGGACUGCCCCCAUUCUGUUACACUAUUCUCUCUCUAUAAAUUCAUCCCUCACCCUCAUUCACAUUUUUGGAGAUGCCAUUCUGAAAUUUCAUCCCCAUUCUUCACUAUACCCUCUCAAUUACCGUAACUGUUAGAGCUUCAACAUCAGAAGCUCUAACCAGUUAAGCUUCGACCUUCACCACCCUCUCCGUUGCGACGAAUCGCACACGCAUCUCAUGAACAAACGAUUCCUACAGGCUAAAGAUUGAGGAAGAAGAGAAAGAUAGAGGGAGAAUAGGAUUCGAAGAGGGAGGAAGAGAAAGGGGAGAUUUACCUGGACUCCAGUCGCCGUCGCGUCGUCUUCGCCGAACUUUGCAUUCUAGGCGCAAUGAUGACUGUCACCGCUGGUGACGGGCUGACCUCCAUUGCCUCAAAGUGGAAAAAAGACGAGUUACCAUGGUGAUAGGUGUCAGCCCCUGUGACGGGCGUCACUAGUGGUGAUAGGUUUCCCUUCAUGCCCCAUGACACACGUCACUCUCCACCUUGCUAUGGAUUUUUGGCCAAAACGGAAAACAACAUAACUUGAGUUCUUAACUCCGUUUGAGAUAAUGUCAUAUGCGUUAGAAAGCUAAUGCAUAAACCUAUCCCAUGGUAGAUGUUUUAAGAUGAUUUUGUGUACAAAUACAUGAAUAAAAAAUAACUACGUAAUAUUGUGUAAUAUUUUAGGACAUAAGUUCAAUGUUUUGAUAAUACGUUAUUGUGAA